rnacentral:lncRNA from 1 species
CACAAUUUGCAGCAACAAUAUCAUUAAAUACCAAAUAUCCAAAAGCCACAUCCAGCCAUACAUCCAGCCAACAACUACAGCCAUACUUGACAAUCAUACACAUCCAAAAGCAAACACCCAAAUAUCCAAAGCAAAGUGCACUACAGCCAUACAUGUUGUUCACAUACUUGACAACCAUACAACCAUAUCGAAUUUAGAAGUUCUUCUUCACAUACCUACUCACCCAAACAGAUUUGUUGGUUUGGGAAAGUGUCAUGAAGGCUUUUGCGAUCUUCGGAUUGUCAACAAGAUGAGCAUAGUAGUGGGCUAGGUGCUCUUCAUCAAAUUCUCCCAACUUGCAGACCUCAUCCCAAAGUUCAGCGGGUAUAUCAUCAUCAUCCCCAGACUUCACAAGAGCAUCAGCCACAAGUUUGAACCCGUAAUUGAGAGUGGUAACUAGUGGAUCUUCAAGAACUUUCACUACCUUGGCCUUCUUUUUUGGUGGUCCUUUGGGGUGAGAGGACUCAGCAACAUUUGGUGAUGUGUUCACCUCACCAUUCUCCUCAUCUUCCACUUCAAUAGAAAGUAGAUCAUUCCC